GACGAACGCUGGCGGCGUGCUUAACACAUGCAAGUCGAACGGAAAGGCCUGCUUUCCCUUGUGGAUUGCGGGUACUCGAGUGGCGAACGGGUGAGUAACACGUGAGUGAUCUGCCCCCAACUUGGGUAUAAGCCUGGGAAACUGGGUCUAAUUCCCGAUAGGACUGCAGGGUGGUGCCUGUGGUGGAAAACGAUUUUCUAGUGGUUGGGGAUGAGCUCGCGGCCUAUCAGCUUGUUGGUGGGGUAAUGGCCUACCAAGGCGGCGACGGGUAGCCGGCCUGGGAGGGUGGACGGCCACAGUGGGACUGAGAUACGGCCCAGACUCCUACGGGAGGCAGCAGUGGGGAAUAUUGCACAAUGGGCGGAAGCCUGAUGCAGCGACGCCGCGUGGGGGAUGACGGCCUUCGGGUUGUAAACUCCUUUCGACCGCGAGGAAGCCACCUGGUUGGAAGGGUGGUGACGGUAGUGGUAGAAGAAGCACCGGCUAACUACGU
rnacentral:rRNA from 1 species